AACGUACGCUGGCGGCACGCCUAACACAUGCAAGUCGAACGAAGUAGCAAUACUUAGUGGCAGACGGGUGAGUAACAUGUGGGUAUCUGCCCUUUGGCCUGGAAUAACACGAGGAAACUUGUGCUAAUACUGGAUAAGUCUUUACGGAGAAAGCUUUAUGCACCAUUGGAUGGGCCCGCACUUGAUUAGUUUGUUGGUGGGGUAAUGGCCUACCAAGACUUUGAUCAAUAGCCGAUUUGAGAGGAUGAUCAGCCACAUUGGGACUGAGACACGGCCCAAACUCCUACGGGAGGCAGCAGUGGGGAAUCUUGCACAAUGGAGGAAACUCUGAUGCAGCGAUGCCGCGUGAGUGAAGAAGGCCCUUGGGUUGUAAAGCUCUUUCGUCGGGAAGAAAAUGACUGUACCCGAUAAGAAGGUCCGGCUAACUUCGUGCCAGCAGCCGCGGUAAC
rnacentral:rRNA from 1 species